rnacentral:rRNA from 1 species
UGGGGAAUUUUGGACAAUGGACGCAAGUCUGAUCCAGCCAUGCCGCGUGCGGGAAGAAGGCCUUCGGGUUGUAAACCGCUUUUGUCAGGGAAGAAACGAGUUUCUCUAAUACAGAGACUUAAUGACGGUACCUGAAGAAUAAGCACCGGCUAACUACGUGCCAGCAGCCGCGGUAAUACGUAGGGUGCGAGCGUUAAUCGGAAUUACUGGGCGUAAAGCGUGCGCAGGCGGUUAUGUAAGACAGAUGUGAAAUCCCCGGGCUCAACCUGGGAACUGCCUUUGUGACUGCAUAGCUAGAGUACGGUAGAGGGGGAUGGAAUUCCGCGUGUAGCAGUGAAAUGCGUAGAUAUGCGGAGGAACACCGAUGGCGAAGGCAAUCCCCUGGACCUGUACUGACGCUCAUGCACGAAAGCGUGGGGAGCAAACA